rnacentral:lncRNA from 1 species
CUUUUUAUUUGUCAUUUUGAACAAUCAAUGGCAGAACAAUGGUACAUAAGGAUGUAUGUUUCCUUUAAUCUUUCCACAACUGAAACCUUGUAUAUUGAUUUCAUUGACACAAGGUCAGAUCUUACAACAGCACCAAUUCAAAUAACUUGAAGUACAGUCUACAAUCAACAAAAACUACAUAAGCAAUAUCUAUUUGGAACUUGCACAUUCCAGUUUCGUCUCUUCCAGUGACACAAGCCUAAUCUGCAACCUUCUCUCUUAUGAUUUGGUUAAACUGCACUUCAUGUUUCUUGUCGAAUUGCAGAUAGUAGUAGGCUGGAGUGUCUAGCCGUCUAUAGUCCUCUCCCUGCAAAACUGAACAAAAUUCAGACUUUCACAAAAUUCAGAACAAGAGAUGGCAGAACUGCUAAGCUACCGUGUUCAAUCUUGUACCUCGUCGAUCUGGUCCAGCCGGGCGGGGCUGAGAACAUCCACCUCGCCCCACUGCACGUUCAGGAGAUCAGCUGGGAGGGGAUGAGAUCAUCCAGG